GUGGCUGCAGAUCCACUCCCCGCGCGUCCACCGCAUCCUCCAUCACUUCCAUCCAUCCCUCGAAGGUCGCCACUUGAAACAAAGCCAGACGUCCUCCCAGUAAUCCAAGGUAAUCAGUUGAAAGGUGGUGAGCAUUGACCACAGGAAAUUAUCGAAGUUGGUGUAACCGUGGUUUGGAUUGGGUCCAACGCAGAGACAAGUGUAGCUCUCGUUGCAGUGCCUGGAAAAUAGGAUAGACAUGUAUCGGCUCGGGAAGGUAUUACACAAAUUCUCCAUUUUUCCGGCUUCUUUUACAAUCUCACGGGGGAUGAGAAUUCGAGUGGCACUUGUUUGGAGAUGUGUUUAUACAAGGUAACCGGUCGUCGGAUUAGCUU